rnacentral:rRNA from 1 species
GAACACACGAUCUAUGAAAAACUCUGCGAAUCGUUUUGUACAGCGAGGGAUCGUGCCCGGAGGCACGAUCGUCGAUGCUCGAGUCGGGCUUCAUGUGCGUCUGCCGUGACCCUCUCGUUUGGUGCGUGGCGGGAUUAAGUGAC